rnacentral:tRNA from 1 species
CAAGGCUUAGUUUAUUAGAACAGCGGCUUUGGGGGCCGCAGGUAAGGGGUUUAGCUUUGA